GUUGGGGAGGCCGAGUGGUUAAGGCGUUGGAUUAGAAAUCCAAUGAGAUCUUCCCGCGCAGGCCCGAAUCCUGCCCGCAACG
rnacentral:tRNA from 1 species